rnacentral:hammerhead_ribozyme from 1 species
AUCCAACUGACGAGUUUCAUGUGUGACGAAACACGCGUCCUGUAU